UACGUAGGGUGCAAGCGUUGUCCGGAAUUAUUGGGCGUAAAGAGCUCGUAGGCGGUUUGUCGCGUCUGCUGUGAAAACUCGGGGCUUAACCCCGGGCCUGCAGUGGGUACGGGCAGACUAGAGUGCGGUAGGGGUGACUGGAAUUCCUGGUGUAGCGGUGGAAUGCGCAGAUAUCAGGAGGAACACCGAGUGGCGAAGGCAGGUCACUGGGCCGCAACUGACGCUGAGGAGCGAAAGCAUGGGGAGCGAACAGG
rnacentral:rRNA from 1 species